AUGUGCCGCUCUGUGUGGACCAUGUGCCUCACUGUGUGGACCAUGUGCCUCUCUGUGUGGACCAUGUGCCUCUCUGUGUGGACCAUGUGCCUCUCUGUGUGGACCAUGUGCCUCACUGUGUGGACCAUGUGCCUCUCUGUGGGGACCAUGUGCCUCUCUGUGUGGACCAUGUGCCUCUCUGUGUGGACCAUGUGCCCCUCAGUGUGGACCAUGUGCCUCAGUGUGGACCAUGUGCCUCUCUGUGGACCAUGUGCCUCUCUGUGGACCAUGUGCCUCAGUGUGGACCAUGUGCCUCUCUCUGUGGACCAUGUGCCUCACUGUGUGGACCAUGUGCCUCACUGUGUGGACCAUGUGCCUCUCUGUGUGGACCAUGUGCCUCUCUGUGUGGACCAUGUGCUUCUCUGUGGACCAUGUGCUUCUCUGUGGACCAUGUGCCUCACUGUGUGGACCAUGUGCCUCUCUGUGGACCAUGUGCUUCUCUGUGGACCAUGUGCCUCACUGUGUGGACCAUGUGCCUCUCUGUGGACCAUGUGCCUCUCUGUGGACCAUGUGCCUCACUGUGGACCAUGUGCCUCUCUCUGUGGACCAUGUGCCUCACUGUGUGGACCAUGUGCCUCACUGUGUGGACCAUGUGCCUCUCUCUGUGGACCAUGUGCCUCUCUGUGGACCAUGUGCCUCUCUGUGUGGACCAUGUGCCUCUCUGUGGGGACCAUGUGCCUCUCUCUGGGGACCAUGUGCCUCUCUCUGGGGACCAUGUGCCUCUCUGUGGGGACCAUGUGCCUCUCUGUGGGGACCAUGUGCCUCUCUGUGUGGACCAUGUGCCUCUCUGUGUGGACCAUGUGCCUCUCUGUGUGGACCAUGUGCCUCUCUCUGUGGACCAUGUGCCUCUCUGUGUGGACCAUGUGCCUCUCUGUGUGGACCAUGUGCCUCUCUGUGUGGACCAUGUGCCUCUCUGUGUGGACCAUGUGCCUCUCUGUGUGGACCAUGUGCCUCAGUGUGGACCAUGUGCCUCUCUGUGGACCAUGUGCCUCUCUGUGGACCAUGUGCCUCAGUGUGGACCAUGUGCCUCUCUCUGUGGACCAUGUGCCUCUCUGUGGACCAUGUGCCUCACUGUGUGGACCAUGUGCCUCACUGUGUGGACCAUGUGCCUCUCUGUGUGGACCAUGUGCCUCUCUGUGGACCAUGUGCUUCUCUGUGGACCAUGUGCCUCACUGUGUGGACCAUGUGCCUCUCUGUGGACCAUGUGCUUCUCUGUGGACCAUGUGCCUCACUGUGUGGACCAUGUGCCUCUCUGUGGACCAUGUGCCUCUCUGUGGACCAUGUGCCUCACUGUGGACCAUGUGCCUCUCUCUGUGGACCAUGUGCCUCACUGUGUGGACCAUGUGCCUCACUGUGUGGACCAUGUGCCUCUCUCUGUGGACCAUGUGCCUCUCUGUGGACCAUGUGCCUCACUGUGUGGACCAUGUGCCUCUCUGUGGACCAUGUGCUUCUCUGUGGACCAUGUGCCUCUCUGUGGACCAUGUGCCUCACUGUGUGGACCAUGUGCCUCUCUGUGUGGACCAUGUGCCUCUCUGUGGACCAUGUGCCUCUCUGUGGACCAUGUGCCUCUCUGUGGACCAUGUGCCUUUCUUCUAA
ensembl:lncRNA